rnacentral:rRNA from 1 species
UACGUAGGGUGCAAGCGUUAAUCGGAAUUACUGGGCGUAAAGCGUGCGCAGGCGGUUUUUGUAAGACUGUCGUGAAAUCCCCGGGCUUAACCUGGGAAUGGCGAUGGUGACUGCAAGGCUAGAGUUUGGCAGAGGGGGUAGAAUUCCGACGUGUAGCAGUGAAAUGCGUAGAGAUGUGGAGGAACACCGAUAGCGAAGGCAGCCCCUGGGUCAAAAACUGACGCUCAUGCACGAAAGCGUGGGAGCAAACAGG